rnacentral:rRNA from 1 species
UACGAAGGGGGCUAGCGUUGUUCGGAAUUACUGGGCGUAAAGGGCGUGUAGGCGGUCCGCUAAGUCAGGUGUGAAAGGCCUGGGCUCAACCCAGGAAAUGCGCCUGAGACUGACGGACUUGAGUCCGGGAGAGGAUGGUGGAACUCCCAGUGUAGAGGUGAAAUUCGUAGAUAUUGGGAAGAACACCCGUGGCGAAGGCGGCCAUCUGGACGGAUACUGACGCUGAGACGCGAAAGCGUGGGUAGCAAACAGG